UGCUGAAUUUCUGAGCAGGAUGUUUUUUUCCUUUGUGCUCUGUCUUGAACUGUUUGCAAUGUAAAACUUGUGUCCCAGUGCAUGGCUGGGAUUUCCCUGUGAGCAGUGUCUGGGGCUGGCAUCUGUCUGAUUGUUUUAACCUUAUCAACAACACAUGCUGGAAAACUUUUUGUCCUAUUCUGGAAAAAGGUGCCAUUCCAUAGCAAGUUAGCUCAGCCAAAGUAAUUUAACUGGACUAUACACAGAUAAGUAAGUUUGGCAUUUUUAGCCCAAUUUAAAGACAGCAGAUUUUGUGCAGGCAUUUUAAGUUAUCUGAUGAGCCACUGAGAUGAAAUAUCAUAAAGAUACAUAACUGAGGCUGAGAAAAGACUCAAUAGCAGUGGGGUGUAUUGUACAAUGUGAAAAGGAUGUUUAUAUCCAAACAUCACACGCACAACUGAACAUGAAUUCACAUUAGAUCAACUUGAACUUCAAACAUACAUUUAUUAGAUACAGAUUGAACAACUGCUUUUUAGGUAGUGAAGUACUGAUAUCACAAAGGUUUUAAUCUGAUGAAAUAUCCGACUUCUAAAAACCCAAACAUGGCUAAUAUUUUCAGCAGCUUUUUGAACAGCAACACCUGAGCACAGGUGAUGAUACUUAAUAGUCUGUUAUUAUUAAUGUCUUUUUUGGUCUUAUUACUUUCUGUAUCUUUAGUGGCAUGUCAGUUUUGCCAUGACAAGCCCUGUAGAAAUUUGUAAUGAGUGAAGCUGAAGACAUGAAUCCACUUCUCUGCUACUGACAUUGUAAUACUUCAUUACAGAGCAUCGACAGAGCAUAUGAGACUCACCAUAUUUGCAGCCUUUGAAAUAAUAUUUAGGUCUACAUAUAGAGGAAAUAAAAUGCCUUAAUUAAUUUUCUGCAUCACUGAGAUGGAGUUUCAGUCAAAUGGGGAAGGCGGAUGUCAGAGCAAGCCAUCCUAGAACCAAGCCUCCAGCACUAUUUGGGAGCAAAAGACACUGUGAAUGCAUUAACUUUGAAUGGUUCCCUGAACUGACUGAUUCGGUUUCUUGGUGCAUUGUAUGAGAUGUUUGGAUAUGCAUUCACAACUCUGGAUUCCUCUCUGAAAGCCAGGAUCCUUCAUGCCGAAGUCAGUGCUGCUUCCUAGGGUUCUAAAUCCCUGAAUUUAGUCUUAGUCAUGAGUUGCAAGAAUGCUAUCCAGCAUUGUAAGUAAGUCAGCAGCAUCCCCCAAAUAAGAUGAUAAAGCAGCUGUGUUGGCUCUAGAGCAGCUUAACUUUAAGCUUCUGAGUAUGAUGAAUUAUUGUUUAAGGAGAUGUAUUCAUAAUUCUGUUCCUUCCAAGCAGGUGGUUGAUAUUUUGAGAGCCCUGCUGUAUCAGCACUAUGUAUAUUUGGCACAGAAACUGCAUGAAUAUUAUAAAUUCUAUGUUUAAUUGGGUCUCAUAAAGAAAUCCUCUAAAUCAUAGUCAUCCCAUCAAACAAAACAGGAAAUUGACAUGGUGAGGUAUUCCGUAACAUCACUUCUUUUUUCCCCUAAAGGUUAGACAAAACUUUGUUAUUUUCUUAGAAGAAAAAAAGAUGAGAGAGUCAAGUAUCUUUGAUGUAGUCCUAUUUAUCUGAAAGUAACAGAAAAUCCUAAUUCUUAGCACAGAAAUCAAGUAAUGUGAGAAAGUACUUUUAUAUACAACACCAAGCCUCCCUGAGCUAGCACUCAGCCAAAAAAAGCUCUCUGUUUAGGCUUUCAGCAAGACCACAGUGCCACUAUUCAUUCAGGUUGCAUCCUAUCUUUCCAGCUUCUUUAUAUCUUCCUUGAAAUAUUUCUGUAUCUCUGUCUCAUGUAUUUUUGGCAUAAAAUACCACAGUAUCAUCGGCUAUACAUUAGGUGGUAAUACUCCUUCAUUGACAUUUGUGACUGUUAGGUGGCAUUGUAUGGUGGGGGGUGAGAGUUGCUGUUGUUUCAACAUACUGGGGCUGCAAAAAUCCUAAUGUGCUCUGUUUUUCCUGAAUAAGAGUUCUUUCCAUAGAACUAUGAGGCUAUGAUAAA